rnacentral:rRNA from 1 species
AAUCAACGCUGGCGGCGUGCCUCAGACAUGCAAGUCGAACGAGAAAGUUUCCUUCGGGGGACGAGUACAGUGGCGUCCGGGUGAGUAACACGUGGGUAAGUUUACCUUUGGGUGGGGAAUAGCAGCCGGAAACGGCUAUUAAUACCGCAUAAUGCAGCGGCUCGACAUCGAGACAGUUGUUAAAGCGGGGAUCUGACAAGGACCUCGCGCCUAAAGAGAAGCCUGCGUCAGAUUAGCUAGUUGGUAGGGUAAUGGCCUACCAAGGCUGUGAUCUGUAGCCGGCCUCGAGAGGGCGGUCGGCCGACACUGACACUGACACACAGGUCAGACUCCUACGGGAGGCAGCAGUCGGGAAUUUUGGGUCGAAUGGGCGCAAGCCUGACCCAGCAACGCCGCGUGAAGGA